AACGAACGCUGGCGGCAUGCCUAACACAUGCAAGUCGAACGAGACCUUCGGGUCUAGUGGCGCACGGGUGCGUAACGCGUGGGAACCUGCCCUUAGGUUCGGAAUAACUCCCCGAAAGGGGUGCUAAUACCGGAUAAUGUCUUCGGACCAAAGAUUUAUCGCCUUUGGAUGGGCCCGCGUUGGAUUAGCUAGUUGGUAGGGUAAAAGCCUACCAAGGCGACGAUCCAUAGCUGGUCUGAGAGGAUGAUCAGCCACACUGGGACUGAGACACGGCCCAGACUCCUACGGGAGGCAGCAGUGGGGAAUAUUGGACAAUGGGCGAAAGCCUGAUCCAGCAAUGCCGCGUGAGUGAGGAAGGCCUUAGGGUUGUAAAGCUCUUUUACCCGGGAUGAUAAUGACAGUACCGGGAGAAUAAGCACCGGCUAACUCCGUG
rnacentral:rRNA from 1 species